rnacentral:rRNA from 1 species
CGGGCGUUAAGUUGCAGGGUAUAGACCCGAAACCCGGUGAUCUAGCCAUGGGCAGGUUGAAGGUUGGGUAACACUAACUGGAGGACCGAACCGACUAAUGUUGAAAAAUUAGCGGAUGACCUGUGGCUGGGGGUGAAAGGCCAAUCAAACCGGGAGAUAGCUGGUUCUCCCCGAAAGCUAUUUAGGUAGCGCCUCGUGAAUUCAUCUCCGGGGGUAGAGCACUGUUUCGGCUAGGGGGCCAUCCCGGCUUACCAACCCGAUGCAAACUGCGAAUACCGGAGAAUGUUAUCACGGGAGACACACGGCGGGUGCUAACGUCCGUCGUGAAGAGGGAAACAACCCAGACCGCCAGCUAAGGUCCCAAAGUCAUGGUUAAGUGGGAAACGAUGUGGGAAGGCCCAGACAGCCAGGAUGUUGGCUUAGAAGCAGCCAUCAUUUAAAGAAAGCGUAAUAGCUCACUGGUCGAGUCGGCCUGCGCGGAAGAUGUAACGGGGCUAAACCAUGCACCGAAGCUGCGGCAGCGACACUGUGUGUUGUUGGGUAGGGGAGCGUUCUGUAAGCCUGUGAAGGUGUGUCGUGAGGCAUGCUGGAGGUAUCAGAAGUGCGAAUGCUGACAUAAGUAACGA